UGGGGGAUAUUGCACAAUGGGCGCAAGCCUGAUGCAGCGACGCCGCGUGAGGGAUGACGGCUUUCGGGUUGUAAAACCUCUUUCGCUACUGAACAAGGCCCUGCUUGUUGUGGGGUUGAGGGUAGGUGGAUAAGAAGCGCCGGCUAACUACGUGCCAGCAGCCGCGGUAAAUACGUAGGGCGCGAGCGUUGUCCGGAAUUAUUGGGCGUAAAGAGCUCGUAGGCGGCUUGUCGCGUCUGCUGUGAAAAACGCGGGGCUUAACUCCGCGCGUGCAGUGGGUACGGGCAGGCUAGAGUGUGGUAGGGGUGAUUGGAAUUCCUGGUGUAGCGGUGGAAUGCGCAGAUAUCAGGAGGAACACCGAUGGCGAAGGCAGGUCACUGGGCCAUUACUGACGCUGAGGAGCGAAAGCAUGGGGAGCGAACAGGAUUAGAUACCCUGGUAGUCCAUGCCGU
rnacentral:rRNA from 1 species